GACAGAGGAUGCAAGCGUUAUCCGGAAUGAUUGGGCGUAAAGCGUCUGUAGGUGGCUUUUUAAGUCUGCCGUCAAAUCCAAGGGCUUAACCCUGGACAGGCGGUGGAAACUACCAAGCUGGAGUACGGUAGGGGCAGGGGGAAUUUCCGGUGGAGCGGUGAAAUGCGUAGAGAUCGGAAAGAACACCAACGGCGAAAGCACUCUGCUGGGCCGACACUGACACUGAGAGACGAAAGCUAGGGGAGCGAAUGGG
rnacentral:rRNA from 1 species